CUCCGGGUCGGUAGACGUAUCUUUCGGGAUCUUGAGAGCGGCGUACGGGUGCGGAACACGUGUGCAACCUGCCUUUAUCUGGGGGAUAGCCUUUCGAAAGGAAGAUUAAUACCCCAUAAUAUACUGAAUGGCAUCAUUCGGUAUUGAAAACUCCGGUGGAUAGAGAUGGGCACGCGCAAGAUUAGAUAGUUGGUGAGGUAACGGCUCACCAAGUCUGCGAUCUUUAGGGGGCCUGAGAGGGUGAUCCCCCACACUGGUACUGAGACACGGACCAGACUCCUACGGGAGGCAGCAGUGAGGAAUAUUGGACAAUGGGUGAGAGCCUGAUCCAGCCAUCCCGCGUGAAGGACGACGGCCCUAUGGGUUGUAAACUUCUUUUGUAUAGGGAUAAACCUACCCUCGUGAGGGUAGCUGAAGGUACUAUACGAAUAAGCACCGGCUAACUCCGUGCCAGCAGCCGCGGUAAUACGGAGGGUGCAAGCGUUAUCCGGAUUUAUUGGGUUUAAAGGGUCCGUAGGCGGAUCUGUAAGUCAGUGGUGAAAUCUCACAGCUUAACUGUGAAACUGCCAUUGAUACUGCAGGUCUUGAGUGUUGUUGAAGUAGCUGGAAUAAGUAGUGUAGCGGUGAAAUGCAUAGAUAUUACUUAGAACACCAAUUGCGAAGGCAGGUUACUAAGCAACAACUGACGCUGAUGGACGAAAGCGUGGGGAGCGAACAGGAUUAGAUACCCUGGUAGUCCACGCCGUAAACGAUGCUAACUCGUUUUUGGAAUGUAAGUUUCAGAGACUAAGCGAAAGUGAUAAGUUAGCCACCUGGGGAGUACGAACGCAAGUUUGAAACUCAAAGGAAUUGACGGGGGCCCGCACAAGCGGUGGAUUAUGUGGUUUAAUUCGAUGAUACGCGAGGAACCUUACCAAGGCUUAAAUGGGAAAUGACAGGUUUAGAAAUAGACUUUUCUUCGGACAUUUUUCAAGGUGCUGCAUGGUUGUCGUCAGCUCGUGCCGUGAGGUGUUAGGUUAAGUCCUGCAACGAGCGCAACCCCUGUCACUAGUUGCCAUCAUUAAGUUGGGGACUCUAGUGAGACUGCCUACGCAAGUAGAGAGGAAGGUGGGGAUGACGUCAAAUCAUCACGGCCCUUACGCCUUGGGCCACACACGUAAUACAAUGGCCGGUACAGAGGGCAGCUACACUGCGAAGUGAUGCAAAUCUCGAAAGCCGGUCUCAGUUCGGAUUGGAGUCUGCAACUCGACUCUAUGAAGCUGGAAUCGCUAGUAAUCGCGCAUCAGCCAUGGCGCGGUGAAUACGUUCCCGGGCCUUGUACACACCGCCCGUCAAGCCAUGGAAGUCUGGGGUACCUGAAGUCGGUGACCGUAACAGGUAGCUUA
rnacentral:rRNA from 1 species